UACAACAAUAGGGGCUCAUGAGGCCAAGUUUUGAGUGGCUAGGAGCCCACAGAGUACCUUGAACCUGGAGUAGUUUUGUCUGGGGGACCCACUUGGUGAGUAGGGAAUGGUAUGACUCCAAGUGCUACAAAUAUGAAAGCAAUUAAUAAAUAGCAAAAUGCUAUAUAUUCAAAAGUAAGGUAUUUUGAAAAUUAUUAUUACUCACUUUCCAUAGAUAGUUCUGCUUAUUGGAAAUGUGAAUAUGCUGUUUUUCUAGAGUAUUGUCAUAGUUGUGAAUCAUUUUAUGAACGUUUUGUUUUUAACUCUUCUGCAUUAUUGUUUUAGAGAUGAGGAAAAUCGAGUUCAGAAAACACCACAGUCAAAAAAUAUUUUGGGAAGGAAUUAGCAAGGAUGUGUCAGAGUUGCACACAGUCGUCAGCCUCAUGCUCUUCCAGAAUCAUUGAAAUCCAGUGGCAAGAUAAAUGCUUGUCUGUUGAAAUUUCACAGACGAACACAGUGUUAGACACUGGGGAUCUACUAACUACUGAAGCAACAAGUCACAUUCAGAGAUAAGUAUAAAUCAAGGUAGUGUGUGAAAGAGCCAAAGAGCUCCAGGAGAAUUGGAGGAGGGAGAGGACACACUCGGCUAGGGGAGAUGGGAAGAUUAAGAGAGGGCUUUGUGGAACAGAUGGCAUCUGAACUGAGGUGUUGUUUUUUUUUUUAACUCUUACCUUCUGUCUUAGAAUCAAUACGGUGUAUAUUGGUUCCAAGGCAGAAGAGCGGUAAGGGCUAGGCAAUGGGGGUUAAGUGACUUGCCCAGGGUCACACAGCUAGGAAGUGUCCAAGGCCAGAUUUGAAUCCACGACCUCUUGCCUCUAGACCUGACUCUCAAUCCACUGAGCCACCCAGCUGCCCCCUCCCUGAACUGAGUUUUGAGAAAAGAAAAAAGAUUUUUGCUUCCAGACCCAACACUCUGCCCACUGUAUCAUAGUCAAAUUAUGGGAAUGUGGGUGUAUCUAUUGACUCUGAUGACGAUAUUAUGCUCUAUGUUAUGUCGUAGACCCUUGGGAGAAUGUAAGCCAAAGGCUUGGCUAUAAAUGGAUGGAGAAAAAACAAGAACUACAUUUUGUACCUUGGCUAAAGGGACAGUGAGCUGGUACCUGGAUUCUUCUCUAGAAUUUAUUCCUGC
rnacentral:lncRNA from 1 species